rnacentral:RNase_MRP_RNA from 14 species
AAGCACGGCUUCGCAGCACACAGACGGGGAGCUUGCUCCCAAUGAUGAGCUGCGAGGAAAGUCCGGCCCUUCGCAGCAGCACAGACCUAUUGUACAGCUUGGAUGGAUGUUCAUUUGGAUCUCGAGAAUGUGAAGGUGCCUUGGUGCAGAGAGUGCGAGUGGGAAACCACAGGGCUCGUGCCAGACCUCCAGUGGUGAUGCUUGUUUGUGCCUUGGUUCAGAGAGUGCGUGCGGAAGACCGCAGUGCACAGGUCAGGCCUCCGGUGGCGAAGCUGCUAGCCGAGCCUUGGUGGCAUGCUUGGGCAAUUCGCAGCAGCACAGACAUGCCGUGAGCGCUCAUGAUUUGAGCGCCAACAGAACGGGGCUCACUCUCC